UACAGAGGGUGCAAGCGUUGUUCGGAAUUAUUGGGCGUAAAGCGCGUGUAGGCGGCCCUGCAAGUCGGGUGUGAAAUCCCACGGCUCAACCGUGGAAGUGCAUUCGAAACUGCAGGGCUAGAGUCCUGGAGAGGAAGGUGGAAUGCUUGGUGUAGAGGUGAAAUUCGUAGAUAUCAAGCGGAACACCGGUGGCGAAGGCGGCCUUCUGGACAGUGACUGACGCUGAGACGCGAAAGCGUGGGGAGCAAACAGG
rnacentral:rRNA from 1 species